ACGACUUCCGUUGUGUUGGAGUUGGAGUGUCAGUUGAAUAUGCACCCACGCUCCAGUCAAAAGUCGAUUUGCUCAGUGAAUGAUUCGAUAUGUGAGCCGUCAGUCGCGUUUUCGUUUUGAAAUUUUCGGUUUUGACACAAUAGUAGUGAGGUUUCAGGAGAUUUGUAGAUGCAGGGGUAGGGUAUUGUGAGAAAUUUCAGGGUUUGACACAAUAGUAUUGUAAUUGGAUAGGUACAGUAGGCUAAUCUAUUCAUGAGUCAGUGUGAUACAAUGGUUUUUGUUCAGUGAUCAUCAAAAAUUCCUUCUAAAGCUUUCAUCCUUCUUGAAAUAAAGGUCUAUAAUAUUUAUUGUCAUAAGAAAUUUUCAUGUCUAUAAGAUAAACCUAUUAUUGCAUUGUAUUUACAUAAUUCCAAUAUUUUUCAUAUAUCGUCAAUAAUAUUCAUACAAAUAGAUACAUUUCAUCUCAAUAAAUUUCUUCUACAUGUUUCAUGCUUCUUGAAAUGAUAGAAAAUAAUCUAAUACAAUUUCAAUGCUAAUUCCACGUUUUCAAUUGUACGUACAAUUUCUCUGUUAUAUCCUGACGCGUUUGAAGUCAUUUGGCCCCUUCUUUAGCGUAACUUACAGUUACAAACAUACAGUUCUAUUUAGGAUGAAAAUUAUAGACGAGAUUUUCGUUGUUAUCUUUCAUUACUCAUCAAACUGAACAAUCCAUCAUAGGGAAUGAAUAUAAUGAAUCAUUCAUGUUUUUUAUAUCGGAGAAAUUAUUUAAACUGCGAGGUGGUUUCUUGAAUGUCGAAUCUGAUAUAAGGUUGCUUCAGCAUGUAAAAUUGAAAUCUUUAGUGGCUUUUUCCCCAAGUAUAUUGUGAACUAUGAGUUGUUUAUAGACUGUCUCAUCUGAAACACUUGUUAUCGAUUGAUGACAAAGUUCAUGAUUUUGUGUAGUUGACAGUUGACUCAAGAAUCAGUUCAGUUUUAAACUAACUCUCGUGAGACUGUGAACGGUGACUGUUAACUCGUUUAGUUAACUGUGAUUGGUUUACCACGUGUAUACGAAUUAAUUUUUCCAGCAAUUAGUAAAAACUAGUUUGAAAUUAGUAAAAAUUAGUGGAAUAUUCACUCGAUAAAAUUUGAAGACUACUGUGUCAUGCUGUCACGAUAAUAGAGUUGCUAAUUUAUUUGUGUGUCGAUUCCAAUGGAGUAAGUGAAUAUUAGUGAAAAGUUCAAAUCUCCAAGAUAAUUUGAAGAUAUUGUGGAAUAAUGGGAGUAAAUAAAGAAUUGUGACAUGUAGUUCAAAUAAUGGAAUAAGUGGAAAAUUCUAAUGUGAAAAUGAGUGAUUAAUAUUCGCUAGAGAAGUGAAAUGAGAAGAAUAUUCGCUAAUGAGUGUAGAAAAAUUGUAAGAAUAAAUAGUGUCAAUAUUCAAUGAAAUUUUGUUUUAUUUUUAAGAAUUAAAGUUUUCAUCGAAGUAAGUGAUAUAUUACCGUAAUGUUCUCAAAACGUAGCAGAAAACAAUAUAAAGUGACUGCUCCCGUGAGACAAAUGAAAGCGGAGCAGAAUGAAGAGGAAGAUUACUAUGCUUUCUUCUAUGGUAGAUACUCUGUAUUGCCAUCCUAUACACCUGCCUAUCAAGUUGAAGCUGGAGAUGUCAUACUAAAAGUAAAUGAUACUGAUGUAAAUAGGUUCAACACUAAAGAAGUAUUAAAAUGUUUGAGGCUAUCGGAGAAUCCAGUUGCUUUGAAACUGAAAAGAGAUCCGUUGGUGAAGGCGAAAGUCCGCACGUACCUGUCGUCACAGCACUCCAACGAGGAUGACGCCCCUCCGGCCCCCUCCAAUGGGGGCGCCUGCCCCUGUGCCCCUGCCCCCGCGCCCCCCACGCAUCCGCCCUCCCUCGAGGAUGUCACGCGGAGCAACGGCGAGGACCACUACAGCAAAACGCAACCUAGGUGCGAAGCGUUCCUGAUGACCGGCGACCGCGUGCUGAAGUUGUCGCGGACGGCACAGAGCUCGCUGCUCCCCAAACAGAAGAAGGUGGACAGCUUGCAGCACCACCACCCCCCUCACCACAACCACCACCAUCACCACAACAGUCACCACAGUCACCACCAUCACAAGCACCAUCACAACUCGGUGCCCACCAGUCCCAUCGAGUCCGAGCGACACCACCAUCAUCACCAUGCUAAGCCCACGUCGUCGGCUGGUACAUCACCCACCCCCAGCGCAGCCCCCCCGAGCACAGCGGCCCCCACUUCCUCUUCCUCCUCUUCCUACGUGGUCCGUACAUCACGCUCCGAAGACCAGCUACAAUUCACCAAGGACGCGUCGAUGUCGGCCGUGGACAUUGACAUAGACGACGACAUGACGUCGUCACUGAACACACUGCUGGACACGCGGCCCGACGACCAGCGACCUGUGUGGACUUACAACAAGACUGGAGGCCAUUCGAGGACAAACAACUCCUCCGACAGCUCCUGUGAGAACUCUUCUGACAGAUCACGGUCGACGACAACCGUCUCGUCGGACAACGCCCUGUCGCCGGCCUCGCCAACAUCGGUCUCCUCCUCUGUGAUGUCCUCCUCCUCUUCUUCUUCCUCCUCCUCCUCCUCAUCGGCCUCCUCCUCGCAUAAGCCACCGACCACCAACCACCACCUGGCCACCACCGAUCUCAGCCAGUCGGAGGCCAUCUCCAACAUUUCGUCGCCCGACUUCCAGGACGAGAACUGCGAGAUUCUGAACGCGCGCGACCUGGUGAUGGAGGUGAGCGACCCUAGCGACAGCGACUCGACGCUGCUGCUGAGCGACAGGGGCGGCAGGGGGGGAGGGGGCACCGCCACCACACACACGCAGCAGAAUGGCGUCAACAACAACAAUGUGCCCACCAAGGAGCAGGUGGCUGCCGAUUAUAGGAUAGUUAUACAGGUGAAAGGGCCCGAGAAAGACUCAUUAGCUUCACAAAAUAGGUUACUUCAAAGUUUAAGACUGUCUUCGAGAGAAGAACAACUACAACAACAAACUAAUAACGGAACAGAUCAAUCUGGUUACCAGUCGCUGGACGAAGAGGCGUGCCUGCAGCAGCUGUCGGAGGGAGCAGCCAUCCUGGCAGCGCGGUGCGUGUCCCCCCCCGGCGACCCCCUCGACGAGAGUGACGUGGAGUCGCUGCACAGCUUCCACUUCAGCCCGAGCCCCAGCCCCAAGGCAGUCGACCUGCCCUCGGCCGUCAGGCUCGCCAAGAGGCUCUUCACCCUCGAUGGGUUCAAGAAGUCCGAUGUCAGUCGGCAUCUUAGUAAAAACAACGACUUCAGUCGAGCAGUUGCCGAGGAGUACUUGAAGUACUUUGAGCUAGAAGGAGACACCCUGGACCUGGCGCUGAGGAAGUUCCUGAAGCAGUUCAGUUUAUCGGGCGAGACGCAGGAGCGAGAGCGCGUGCUGCUGCACUUCUCCAAGCGAUAUCUCGACUGCAAUCCGGGCAGCUUCAAUUCGCAAGACGCUGUCCACACGCUAACAUGUGCAAUAAUGCUGUUGAACACGGACCUGAACGGGCAGGGCAUUGGUCACAAGAUGUCGUGCUCCGAGUUCAUAGAGAACUUGUCCGAACUGAACGACGGCGAUAAUUUCCCCAGAGAUGUGCUCAAGUGUCUAUACCAGGCCAUCAAGUCCUAUCCGCUCGAAUGGGCCAUCGACGAAGACCCGGAUGACGGCGAAAUCGGAGGCAAGGGAGGCAGCAACGACCUGACGGGCGGGGGUGGUGGUGGUGGCGGGGUUGGAGGCGGUGGAGGUCUGAUCAGCACAGGCAAGGGAUUCUUCGAUGUGCCCAGCUCUGCCCCCGCCAUUGAGUACAAGAAGGGUUACGUCAUGCGCAAGUCCUGCAUAGAGCCUAAUGGCAAAAAGACACCGCUGGGCAAACGCGGCUGGAAGAUGUUCUACUGCACUCUGCGUGACCUGGUGCUGUACCUGCACAAGGACGAGCACGGCUUCCGCAAGACGCAGUUGAGCGACAACCUGCACAACGCCAUCCGCAUCCACCACUCGCUCGCCACCAAGGCGCACGACUACACCAAGAAGCUGCACGUCUUUCGCCUAGAGACCGCCGACCAGGCCGAGUACCUCUUUCAAACCAGCGACUCGAAAGAGCUGCAGUCGUGGAUAGACACGAUCAACUUUGUGUGCGCCAGCUUCUCCGCUCCCCCCCUGCCUGGCGCCGUCGGCUCCCAGAAAAAGUUCCAGCGGCCUCUGCUUCCCAGCAGCUACACUAAGCUCAAUUUGAGAGAGCAGUUGCGCGACCACGAAGACAGGGUGCAGCGACUGGAGAGUGAGCUGGAAAUGCAUCGCAAGCAUCCCAUCGAGAGGGGGGCCAAAGCACUAGUCAUUCAAAACUACAAGGAGAAGGACGCCUACCUUCACUACGAAUUGAAACGCUACAAAACCUAUGCCUACCUACUGCGCUCGCGAAUAGCGCAGUACCCCGAACUAGAAGGGGGGAUGGAGGUUGAGGGGGACCUGGAGGCCCUAGGCGAGGGUGAUGGUGAGGAGGAGGGGGGAGACCACGCCCCUCCGCCAAUCUCAAACAGAUGUUGUACGAUCAGCUAAUGGUUGGAGACUCUGACAAGGCUCUCCUGAUAAUCUGAUCGGACGCUUUCCAAACAGUAUGAAAUCAAACUUUUGCUUUUUUAUUGAAAAUUGUGAUUUUGUCUAAUCUGAAUUGAAGACUAAUAUGAUUGAAGAGCUUUGGCUGGUUUGAGUGUAUUUUAAUUGCUUUCUAGUCUCACCUGUACUACAUCAACCUGCUAUGAAGCGCCAAUAAGGAGGAAAAUGAAGAGAAAAAGAAGAGGGAUUCCUAGCACUCAUCAUCGUCUUAAGUGAUCAAAAAUUUGUGAAAAUUGUAAUUAUCGUCUAUGUAAAGUUGUAAAGUGAUAUAUUCAUAAAAUGAAAAAUAACUAGGUAACUCUUACAUGGAAAAUAAACAAAGCUGCAUAAUCAACAACUCAUACUAUUAAGAAGUAUUUAUUUUACUGACUAUUAUUAGUUGCGAAGAUGACUUUGAUAAUAGGUAAGGUAAUCAUACCUAUUUAUAUUGUACUGUAUAUAAUAAUAAUAAAUUUCCACUAUUUUAAAUAGAAAACUAUUUUUACAGUGAAAACAAGCAAAACAAAAUAAUAAUGACAAGCUGAAAACUGAA